rnacentral:rRNA from 1 species
UUUAACAUGCAAGUCGAGCGGUAACAGACAUAAAGAUUCAGCUUGCUGAAUCCGGUGCUGACGAGCGGCGAACGGGUGAGUAACGCGUAGGAAUCUACCCAGUAGCGGGGGAUAGCCCGAGGAAACUCGGAUUAAUACCGCAUACGCCCUGAGGGGGAAAGGGGGCAAUUUAUUGCUCUCACUAUUGGAUGAGCCUGCGUAAGAUUAGCUUGUUGGUAGGGUAAUGGCCUACCAAGGCGACGAUCUUUAGCUGGUCUGAGAGGACGAUCAGCCACAUUGGGACUGAGACACGGCCCAGACAUCUACGGAUGGCAGCAGUUAAGAAUAUUGGACAAUGGGGGCAACCCUGAUCCAGGUAUACCGCGUGUGUGAAGAAGGCCCUAGGGUUGUAAAGCACUUUAAUCAGAGAAGAAGCAUUUUAAGUUAAUACCUUAAUUUGUUGACGUUAACUGAAGAAUAAGGACCGGCUAACUCCGUGCCAGCAGCCGCGGUAAUACGGAGGGUCCAAGCGUUAAUCGGAAUUACUGGGCGUAAAGCGCGCGUAGGCGGUUUAGCAAGUUGUAUGUGAAAGCCCUGGGCUCAACCUAGGAACUGCAUCCAAAACUACUAAGCUAGAGUACGAGAGAGGAGAGUAGAAUUUCUGGUGUAGCGGUGAAAUGCGUAGAUAUCAGAAGGAAUACCAAUGGCGAAGGCAGCUCUCUGGCUCGUCACUGACGCUGAGGUGCGAAAGCGUGGGUAGCAAACAGGAUUAGAUACCCUGGUAGUCCACGCCGUAAACGAUG